rnacentral:rRNA from 1 species
AUUGGACGCUGGCGGCAUGCUUUACACAUGCAAGUCGAACGGCAGCGAGGAGAAGCUUGCUUCUCUGUCGGCGAGUGGCGAACGGGUGAGUAUAGCAUCGGAACGUGCCAAGUAGUGGGGGAUAACCAAACGAAAGUUUGGCUAAUACCGCGUAAGCUCUAAGGAGGAAAGUAGGGGACCUAAAUAAGGCCUUACGCUAUUUGAUCGGCCGAUGUCGGAUUAGCUAGUUGGUGGGGUAAUGGCUCACCAAGGCAAUGAUCCGUAGCGGGUCUGAGAGGACGAUCCGCCACACUGGGACUGAGACACGGCCCAGACUCCUACGGGAGGCAGCAGUGGGGAAUUUUGGACAAUGGGGGAAACCCUGAUCCAGCCAUGCCGCGUGUAUGAAGAAGGCCUUAGGGUUGUAAAGUACUUUUGUUAGGGAAGAAAAGCUAGUUUUUAAUAAAAAUUAGUGAUGACGGUACCUAAAGAAUAAGCACCGGCUAACUACGUG